GCUGGCAGUGCCGCGGACCCGGCUCCCUCAAGCGCCCUCCCUCUCACCCCAUCCCGGCCCGCUGCCCAACCCUACCCCGACCUGGACCUCUCCCGGCGGCUGGCUCCUAGGCAUCCUCUCCUCCAGGUGCCCCGCUGUGACCUGCGGAGCUGCGGACCGACAAGACAGGGAAGCCAACCAGGAGACUUUUUAGAGCGAAAACUCACACUAAGAAAGAUUUGUCUCAGGAUACAACCCCUGGUGGACCCAAAAUAUAUGAGUCAAGAGAUAAGAAACUACUAUUUUUUAUUAUGACAAACAUAAUCCAUAUCAUUUAAGAAAAAGUGGAGAUGAGUGAGCAAAGAAAAAAAGAAUCAUACAUGUUGGGAGCCAUAGGACGGUAGAGGACCCAGGAGAAGGUGUAGCAGCGCCCACUGACAUGGUUACAACUAGGGAAAGACAGGGGACGGGCACACCUUCAGGCGAACGGCAUGGAGGUACCAUCAGGCGAUUGGAUUCAUUUUUGAGUGCAGUAUACCAUGAACAUCUCCUCCAUGCAUGUGGGUGAAAAUCCCCUACUGAAACACAGAGAGCACUGUAGUUGGAUCAAAAGGCUGCUGGUAAUGAGAGUGACACCUAAAGCAAAGAAUCAGCUUAAGGUUAAAGCACAUAGCCUGGCAAAUGCCUGCCAGGGAAAGCAGGGUCAGCGAUAUUCUCAUCAGAGGAGUCAGAAUUGAAGGCCAAAGGCAUUAAAGAUAUGGGAUAUCAUCUCUUCCUGAGCCCUUGACAUAUCUGCACAUUCUGUCAUCAUCUCCUCACUGCCCAGAUGCCUUUCCUCCUUGCAGAGUGCUGAGAACAGACACGCAGACCUGCAGACAGGAGACAGAGAGGGGCUGCACGGUCAGUGGACUGAAGUCCCUUUCCUGAAUUUGGGCCCUCCUCAUCCAACGUUUCCUCCCCCACCUCCCCUGCAUCCAAGCCGCCAUUACUUUUCAGGCCUCAGGCACCAGACCAGGAUGCUUUCCAAACUAUUUUGGAUCUCUGGGUCUUCCUCCCGUGCAAGCAACCUGCCCCACCCCCAACCCUUUACGCUGAGGUCAAUAUUUCCUCCUGGGUGGAGAGGGUGAAAGGGAGUUAUUUUCAGAAUUUGUCUACGUUUCACUGUCGCACUGCGGGGGCGCACUCCCCCCCCAUUUCAGGCUAGAAAAUGGAUGGAGGGCGCAGAGGAGGGGCGUCGAAGAGGCGGCAGGGCCCGUUGCAGGGUCCUCCCUCCCCACCUGCCCACACCACGCCCCGUGCCCCUCCUCACCCAUCUCGGAACCCCUUCCCCUCUCCCCGCUGCUCCCGGAUCCUAGUCCCAUCCGCUUCCACCCCCACCCGGGCCGCCAGCAGCGCCCACCUUCACACUGACCUGCAGCGCCCGGGCCGGGCCUGCGCCUCCUCUGGCUCGCCUAAGCCCGCUUGCCCCUCGCUCGCCACGCGGGCAGCUCCGGGAGCUGGUUCCGCGCGGUCGACAGGACCAGACCUCGGGGCUGGGGGGGUGGGACGCGGGGGCUGCUGCCCACGUUGGCGCCCUGCCGGUCACGUGAGCGCCGCGUCACCCGAGCCCGGUUUCCCCCCGCCCCGCCCCCUCACCUACAUCCCACAGGGACCGGACAGCUGCGGACGGGCUGCGGGGUGGUGUGUGUGGAAAAGGGGGAGUUACCAACAGAGCAGGUGGGGGGAGGCUUCCUGACUGCAGGUGCUUUACCUGGUGCCUCUCAGGUCCUCGCUCAGCAUCCCUCUGAGAUGCCCUUUAUCCCCAGUUGUGACAGCUGAUCACAGGGAGGGUACCCGACUUCUCCAGGAGCGCUCCACACGGAGCCUCACAACCCGUUUUCAAGACCAGCUCCGUCUGACUCCAGAGCCCUGGUGGUGGUGCCCGCCAGUAGCUGCGCUGCCUCCUUGAGUAGCAGCUAUGUCCAGAGCCUCUGCUCUCCUCAGUCCAUGUGUCCUCGCUCCCUGGCUGAUCUCUGUUCAUUUCCCUCUAAACACAGAUGAUUUCCUAAUCUACAUAUCCAGGUUAUUCCCUCCCUUGAGUCUCAGACCCAUUUUGCUUUCCCACCAGCAAUAUAGGAGAGUGCUUAUUUCCCCACACACUUUUCAACAUAGCGUGUGACAUACUUUCUACUUUUCACUAAUAUGAUAGGUGAGAAGUAUUAUAUCGAUGGCAUUCCUGUUUAACAACAGUUUAAAUAUCAUUGUGAAUUGUCUGUUCAUGUCUUUUCCACAUUUUUCUAUUGGGUUGUUGGUCCUUCACACUUUUCAAGUGUUCUUUACACAUUAACUAUAUUAGGCCUUUAUCUGUUAUAUA